AGCGAACGUUUGCGGCGGGCCUAACACAUGCAAGUCGAACGCACUAGCAAUAGUGAGUGGCGCACGGGUGCGUAACACGUGGGUAAUCAACCCUUCAGCCUGGGAUAACGACUCGAAAGGGUCGCUAAUACCGGAUACGGCGCGAGAGGCUUCGGCUUCUCACGAGAAAGCCACGCAAGGGGCACUGAAGGACGAGCCUGCGGCCCAUCAGCUAGUUGGUGAGGUAAGAGCUCACCAAGGCUAAGACGGGUAGCUGGUCUGAGAGGAUGAUCAGCCACACUGGAACUGAGACACGGUCCAGACUCCUACGGGAGGCAGCAGUGGGGAAUAUUGCGCAAUGGGCGAAAGCCUGACGCAGCCACGCCGCGUGAGCGAUGAAGGCCUUCGGGUCGUAAAGACGUCUGUGGGAGGGGACGGAAGUAGGCGCCGUGAAGAAGCGGCGAGUGACGGUACC
rnacentral:rRNA from 1 species